GCGGCAGGCCUAACACAUGCAAGUCGAGCGCCGUAGCAAUACGGAGCGGCAGACGGGAGAGUAACACGUGGGAACGUGCCCUUCAGUUCGGAACAACCCAGGGAAACUUGGGCUAAUACCGGAUACGUCCGUAAGGAGAAAGAUUUAUCGCUGAAGGAUCGGCCCGCGUCUGAUUAGCUAGUUGGUGAGGUAACGGCUCACCAAGGCGACGAUCAGUAGCUGGUCUGAGAGGAUGAUCAGCCUCACUGGGACUGAGACACGGCCCAGACUCCUACGGGAGGCAGCAGUGGGGAAUAUUGGACAAUGGGCGCAAGCCUGAUCCAGCCAUGCCGCGUGGAUGAUGAAGGCCCUAGGGUUGUAAAGUCCUUUCGGCGGGGAAGAUAAUGACGGUACCCGCAGAAGAAGCCCCGGCUAACUUCGUGCCAGCAGCCGCGGUAAUACGAAGGGGGCUAGCGUUGCUCGGAAUCACUGGGCGUAAAGCGCACGUAGGCGGCUUUUUAAGUCAGGGGUGAAAUCCUGGAGCUCAACUCCAGAACUGCCUUUGAUACUGAGAAGCUUGAGUCCGGGAGAGGUGAGUGGAACUGCGA
rnacentral:rRNA from 1 species